GGGGGUUUAGCUCAGCUGGUAGAGCACCUGNNGGCUAGAGCACCUGCUUUGCACGCAGGGGGUCAGGAGUUCGAAUCUCCUAACCUCCACCA
rnacentral:tRNA from 1 species